rnacentral:rRNA from 1 species
CCUACGGGAGGCAGCAGUGGGGAAUAUUGGGCAAUGGGCGAAAGCCUGACCCAGCAACGCCGCGUGAGGGAAGAAGGUCUUCGGGUUGUAAACCUCUGUCCUUGGUGAAAAGGAAGGAUGGUAGCCAAGGAGGAAGCUCCGGCUAACUACGUGCCAGCAGCCGCGGUAAU